GGGCCGCUGGUCUAAUGGCAAGACACUUGCUUUGCAAGAGUUGAAGUUACGGCUUCUGCUCCAAAUUAGCAAGGAACUCCCGGUUCGAAUCCGGGGCGGUCCA
rnacentral:tRNA from 1 species